rnacentral:rRNA from 1 species
GACGAACGCUGGCGGCGUGCCUAAUACAUGCAAGUUGAGCGCUGAAGGUUGGUACUUGUACCAACUGGAUGAGCAGCGAACGGGUGAGUAACGCGUGGGGAAUCUGCCUUUGAGCGGGGGACAACAUUUGGAAACGAAUGCUAAUACCGCAUAAAAACUUUAAACACAAGUUUUAAGUUUGAAAGAUGCAAUUGCAUCACUCAAAGAUGAUCCCGCGUUGUAUUAGCUAGUUGGUGAGGUAAAGGCUCACCAAGGCGAUGAUACAUAGCCGACCUGAGAGGGUGAUCGGCCACAUUGGGACUGAGACACGGCCCAAACUCCUACGGGAGGCAGCAGUAGGGAAUCUUCGGAAAUGGACGAAAGUCUGAACGAGCAACGCCGCGUGAGUGAAGAAGGUUUUCGGAUCGUAAAACUCUGUUGGUAGAGAAGAACGUUGGUGAGAGUGGAAAGCUCAUCAAGUGACGGUAACUACACAGAAAGGGACGGCUAACUACGUG